UACAGAGGUCUCGAGCGUUUGUUCGGAUUCAUUGGGCGUAAAGGGUGCGUAGGUGGCUAGGUAAGUCGGAUGUGAAAUCCCGGGGCUCAACCCCGGAACUGCAUUCGAUACUGCCUGGCUAGAGUACUGGAGAGGAGAUUGGAAUUUACGGUGUAGCAGUGAAAUGCGUAGAUAUCGUAAGGAAGACCAGUGGCGAAGGCGGAUCUCUGGACAGUUACUGACACUGAGGCACGGAAAGGCCAGGGGAGGCAAACCGGG
rnacentral:rRNA from 1 species